AGGACGAACGCUGGCGGCGUGCUUAACACAUGCAAGUCGAGCGGAAAGGCCCUUCGGGGUACUCGAGCGGCGAACGGGUGAGUAACACGUGAGUAAUCUGCCCAUCGCUUCAGGAUAGCCAUCGGAAACGGUGAUUAAUACUGGAUAUGACAUUCCUUCGCAUGUUGGGGUGUGGAAAGUUUUUUCGGCGGUGGAUGUGCUCGCGGCCUAUCAGCUUGUUGGUGGGUAAUGGCCUACCAAGGUCUUUGACGGGUAGCCGGCCUGAGAGGGUGACCGGCCACGACGUGGGACUGAGACACGGCCCAGACUCCUACGGGAGCAGCAGGUGGGAAUAGUGGACAAGUGGGCGAAGCCUGAUCCAGCAACGCCGCGUGGAGGAUGACGGUCCGUUCGGGUUACGUAACC
rnacentral:rRNA from 1 species